AUUGAACGCUGGCGGCAGGCCUAACACAUGCAAGUCGGACGGUAGCACAGAGGAGCUUGCUCCUCGGGUGACGAGUGGCGGACGGGUGAGUAAUGUCUGGGGAUCUGCCCGAUAGAGGGGGAUAACCACUGGAAACGGUGGCUAAUACCGCAUAACGUCGCAAGACCAAAGAGGGGGACCUUCGGGCCUCUCACUGUCGGAUGAACCCAGAUGGGAUUAGCUAGUAGGCGGGGUAACGGCCCACCUAGGCGACGAUCCCUAGCUGGUCUGAGAGGAUGACCAGCCACACUGGAACUGAGACACGGUCCAGACUCCUACGGGAGGCAGCAGUGGGGAAUAUUGCACAAUGGGCGCAAGCCUGAUGCAGCCAUGCCGCGUGUAUGAAGAAGGCCUUCGGGUUGUAAAGUACUUUCAGCGGGGAGGAAGGCGAUGUGGUUAAUAACCGCGUCGAUUAACGUUACCCGCAGAAGAAGCACCGGCUAACUCCGUGCCAGCAGCCGCCGUAA
rnacentral:rRNA from 1 species